GCCAAGGUGGCUUAGUGGAUAAUGCACCUGCCUAGUAAGCUGGAGGCCCAGGUUCGAUUCCUGGCUUCGGUA